UCAGCCUACGGGGGGCAGCAGUGGGGAAUAUUGCACAAUGGGGGAAACCCUGAUGCAGCGACGCCGCGUGAGUGAAGAAGUAUUUCGGUAUGUAAAGCUCUAUCAGCAGGGAAGAAAAUGACGGUACCUGACUAAGAAGCCCCGGCUAACUACGUGCCAGCAGCCGCGGUAAUACGUAGGGAGCAAGCGUUGUCCGGAAUUACUGGGCGUAAAGGGCGCGUAGGUGGGCGCUUAAGUCAGGUGUGAAAACUCCGGGCUCAACCUGGAGACUGCACUUGAAACUGGGUGUCUUGAGGGCAGGAGAG
rnacentral:rRNA from 1 species